ensembl:lncRNA
AUGCGUGCAGCUUGCACACAGCCAAGGAAAAGCUCAACGUUGUCGGAAACGCUUAGUCACACUUCUCACCUGUCUUCUUGCUCAGGUGAAAAAGAGCUCAAAGUAGCCAAUCAGAAUCCUGAAACAGAGCUAAACAUUAUUAAAGAACUACUAAACGAGUUCAGAGGGCUUCACGAGCUGAGGUUAAGAUGCUUGGAGGAGGACACCACUAGAAGGGGAGAACUCCCACAGAAGAAAGUGGACUUCCUGCAGUCUUACGUGAAUGACCUCACAGACCACAUCCAGGUGCUUGUUCAGACCAUUGAGGAUUUGCAAAGGGGAGCUGGACAGAACCAUGAUCGUGUUUUGGCUGUGUCUGGGGUUGGGUUGAAGCCUUUGUUGCUGGAUGAGGUCACUGGACCUGUGGCUCACAUCCCUCGCAGCAGUGGUUCCGUGGACCAGAUGACGUCUGAGACGGAGGAUGUGAAAAUCCAGCUGCAAACCAAUGACACGAUCGUCUCGGAUCUGGAGAGGGAGCUCGCAGAGAAUAUACAACAAAAGCAAAAGACUGCGACGCAGGUGCUGGAAAGCGGCGAGAGGCUGGUGCACCUGCAGAGCGAGCUGUCUUGUCUGCGGCGGAUCCACGAAGACAACAUGAAGGAGAUUGCUGAGAAAGACAUCUGCAUCACCAAACUGCAAGCUAACAUUCAGCUCCUGCAACAGGAGGGGGCUGACACGCGUGCUCAGUUGGAGGCCAGCAGGAAGCAGGUGGAACGUCAGAGGAGGGAGUUAUCAGAGCUUCACCAGAAGGAGGAGACACUUUUGUGUGAGACCAAGGCCAAAAUGGUGCAUUUGAAAGACAAGCUCCGUGACGGUUUCAAGAGAAGGGCGGAGGAGAAAGAGGCGAGGAUUAAGCAACUAACUGACGAGCUGAAUGGAACGAGGCAAAAGUUACAAAUAAGUGAGGGUAUGUUAAGUGAUAUCACGGCUGCCCUGGAUCGGACCACCACCAACCUGAAUGCAGACAGACAGCAGAUCUUAGGCCAGCUGCAUCACACGAGCAAAGAGGUUGAACGUCUACAGCUGGAAUUAGCUCUCGAGCGUCGCACCGGUGAAAAGAAGAUACAGAAGAGGGAGGUUAAGAUGUGUACACUGAUGAAGGAGCUCACAGAAAGUAAGGGACAACACUCAGAGUGUCAAAAAGAGUUGCUUCGAAAAGACAGGUCUUUGGAGAAGCUCCGUGAGGAGAGGGAUGAGCUGAGAGUCCUGAUGGAGGACCGAAGCAGAGAGUGCGCACACCUUGACCGGAGCAAAGCCAAACUGGAGGCUGACUUGGCUCUGAGCCAUGAGAAACUCCACACCUCACACCUUGAGGUUCGAAGUAGAGAUGAGUUAAUUCUGCAGCUCAGAGCCGAAAUGAAGACAGCUGAACAGAAGCAUCGAGGAACACAGAAGCAGGUGACAGCUCUGGAGAAAGAGGUAAGACACUUAAACUGCACGAUCAGAGCGCACAAGGAAGAGGCCUGUCAGUUAAGCGAAAAGGUCAGCGAUAUCGAGCACCUUAAAGAGCAGAAGGCGAAAGAACAACAGCAGCUACAAGAGCGGCUCCGUAUUAAGGAGCAACAGGCUGAUGCAGUUGAAAAGAAGCUGAAGAAGGAGAAGGAGGAGGUGGAACUUCUCAAUCAGCAGCUGAAAGAAUCCAAGGAUGAGCUCAAAGAGGCCAAUUUGCACAACCAGGAGCAGAAAGAAACGGCUGCGAUUUUUAAGCAGAAAUACGCCGCAGCAAUAGAGAAGGCGCUCAGGGUGCAAGAGCAUGUGGAACGUCUGGAGGAGGAACUACGAUAUUCACAGGAACAGCUAAGAGAGUCGCAGUUAGCAGCUUCUUCGCUGAAGGAAGAGCUAGCUGAGCUGGAGUGCCGGUAUCAGGAAAAGGUUGGCCAGUGGGAGAGUUCACAGGAGGCUCUUGACCAACUAACAGAUGAACUUCAGGCCAGUCACAACCUGCUAAGAGAGAGCGAACAAAAAGUGGAGCACUUCAAAAACCUGAUGAGAUCUCUUCAGGAGCAGAUGGACACACUCAAUCAGCAGAAGCUUGCUGUGGAGUGUGACCUGCAGCUCUAUCGUCGGAGCCAUUCUCAUUCUGAUGAGGACUAUUUGAAUCUAGGAAGACUCAGACAGCAGCUGCAGAAGCGCUGUGCAGCACAGGUUGAACACCUUGCGGUGUGUGAAAACACUAUUCUUCAGAUGAAGUCAGAGCUGGAGAGACAAGUCCAGGAAAAGGUGGGUCUGAAACAAAGUCUCGCUGCUUCCCAGCAAACUCACCGGAGCAAUCAAAAACAGCUGGAACAGGAAGUGAUUCGUACAAAACAGGAAGUGGCAUCCUUAGAGCUUGAACUGGCGAACACCCAAAAGGUGCAGGUGGCACUCCUCAGGCAGUCAGAUGAGGCCAGACAAGAGUCUGCAAGAAAGAGCCGAGAGGUGGAUGUGGAGAGAAGAAAGGCCCAGAUGCUUCAGGAGGCGUUACACAAGGAGCAGGAGAAGCUGCAGAGUGCUAUCAGAGAGAAUGAGACCCUGAGCACUGUCAUCGGAAAGCUGAGGAAAGAGCUGGAGGAGCUGCGCAGCAGUCACCGAGUGACAGUGGAGGAGUUGGCAGCCCGUGCAGAGGAGGUGAGGCGGAUGGAGGGGUGUCUGAAUGAAGGCAAGCUAGCAGAGGAGAAAAUAAGGUCAAUGGCUGCGGGGCUGAAGAAGGAGCUGACAGAGGCUGUCCAUCAGAAACUCACAGCAGAGAGAGAGAAACAGGAUGCACUGGACCAGGGGCUUGUGAAACUUCCACCAAGGCUGGUUAUGUAG